rnacentral:lncRNA from 1 species
AUGUGAGGAAAGCGUGCGUGUGUUUGUGUGAGAGAAGUGUGUGUGUGAGAGAAAAGCUGCUUUUGGUUUGUGUGAGAGAAGUGUGUGUGUGAGGAAAGCGUGCGUGUGUUUGUGUGAGAGAAAGCGUGCGUGUGUUUGUGUGAGAGAAAGUGUGUGUGUGAGAGAAAGCGUGCGUGUGUGGUUUGUGUGAGAGAAAAGCGUGCGUGUGUUUGUGUGAGAGAAAGUGUGUGUGGAGUGGAAAGGGUCGUGUGUUUGUAUGAGAGAAAGCGUUUGUAUGAGAGAAAGCGUGUGUUUGUAUGAGAGAAAGCGUGUGUAUGAGAGAAAGCGUGUGUUUGUAUGAGAGAAAGCGUGCGUGUGUUUGUAUGAGAGAAAAGCGUGCGUGUGUGUUUGUUGAGAGAAAGUGUGUGUAUGAGAGAAAGCGUGCGUGUGUUUGUAUGAGAGAAACGGUGCGUGUGUUUGUAUGAGAGAAAGCGUUGGUGUGUUUGUGUAGAG